UACGUAGGGAGCGAGCGUUGUCCGGAAUUACUGGGCGUAAAGGGUGCGUAGGCGGCAUGGCAAGUCAGAUGUGAAAUCCCCGGGCUUAACUCGGGAGUUGCAUUUGAAACUGCCGUGCUUGAGUGCAGGAGAGGUUAUCGGAAUUCCCGGUGUAGCGGUGAAAUGCGUAGAUAUCGGGAGGAACAUCGGUGGCGAGGGCGGGUAACUGGACUGCAACUGACGCUGAGGCGCGAAAGUGUAGGGAGCAAACAGGAUUAGAUACCCUGGUA
rnacentral:rRNA from 1 species